GAGUAUACGUCUAUUUUCCACCUAUAAUUAUCCAUUGAAGAAGAAUAUGCCUGCUUCAUAACUUUAUGUUUAUAUAUUAAAUCAUCGGAGCUUUCUUUAAGAAACAACAACGCUUCCUUCUGCGCAUCAGCAUCAUUCUUAUCUAUUACUUCAAGCUCUUCUACGCCAAACGUUAUUCCAUUCAUAGAGUUAGCAAAGUCAUGAAGCAGCCGUCCUGAUAGCAGUUCCGUUAUUAACAGUAUGUUUUUGGUAUUUUCGUUCAUUGGAUAAUUAUAAAUGAUUUAAGUUACCCUAUAUUGGAUUAUGAAUACUUAUACCAGAUCAGGAAUAGAUAUUGAACUAUAUAAUAAGUUAAUAAAAGAAGUCAAGCCUAUUGCUCAAGAAACUACUAGAGAAGAAGUAAUCAGCGAAAUAGGUUCAUUUUCUGCGUUAUUUGAUUUUGCUGCACUAAGUAAGAAGUAUGACCAUCCAGUACUCGUUUCCUCAACUGAUGGAGUAGGUACGAAACUGUUGAUAGCUCAAGAAGUGAAUAAACAUGAUACUAUAGGUAUA